rnacentral:lncRNA from 1 species
GGAAUUUCCUUUCGGAGGUAAUUACAAGGCUCACCUAUUAACAGUGGAAAAUCUGCAGCCACUAAUUGCUCUCUUCAAGUCAGAUAGGAGACCUCAAAUGAAAUACAACCUCAGGAUGUUUUUUCAGAAUGAGAGUUUUAUUCCAAUUAUCAAUGGGCAUCACCACCAAUAUUAUUUGAAAAUGCCAAAGUAUAAAGACAUUUUCUUACGAGAGUACUACAAAAGCACAGCUCAAAAUAUCAAUCUGCUCUUCCUCAAAACAUUUUGAAGUUAUCGCUUUGCUUCAACAUUUUCACUUGCUCCAAAAAGCUUUCUUUAUCCCCCAAAUGGCUUUCUAUGAAUUGCGUAAAAUUUGAGUUCAGAAAAAUUGGUUCUGGUUUAGGAUUUGCACACUCAGCACUGCUCUCAGACUGAGGGGAUUCAGAACAUCUUCUCUGGACAACACAAGCAAUGGCUGGAUACUUUUGGAUUUGUCAGACUCCAAAUGACCCAGCUGAUGAACUGCAAGACCAGACUGAACACAGUAUCCAUCUCCUGCCCCCAUUCCUGUUGCCAGACCCUCCGGACAGAAGGUCCUGCCACAAGAAAACGUUGGGAUAUACACUCCAACCCCUUGGAAGAAUAUCUGUGAGGGAAUUAGACAAUUAAUUUGGAGAAAAGGAAGAGCCUAUAGGACAUUGGGCCCUUGUUUCAAUAUAGGGCAGAGUAGAGAUGUUAUUAGACUGCAUGAUAAUAAAGGCAAAAAGACCAUUUGCUUUUCCCACUAGCUUACUGGACCUAAGCUUGCUGCCAGAGCAAGACUAUAGGUAAUUCUUUAAAAGAUCUUUUAAAGAACAUCAAAUUGGCCCCAGUGGACUCAGUUGGGUCUUAUGACUGACUGAGAGCAAUAGAAGCAAAUAUGACUUCUGAAGGAUCUCUGAGGCUUUACUGAGAACCACGAGCAGGAAGUAGAGUAUCAAGGAACCACUGUUAACAGAAACCACUGCUCUCUGGAUCUGGCUCAAACUGCUGCUAGGAACCACUGGUAGGCCACUCCACAGAGAUCCAGCCCUGGGAGUAGCACAUCUGGCUGGGAGAGACGAUCUUGCCAAGCAAUACUACCAUGCAGCUCUCUGCGUCUUUUGGGGAAAAGGCCUAAAUCCUUACUAUUUACAUAGCAUCUGGAGAGAAGGGUAGAUAUUUGUGUAAGUAUUUUAUUACUGUCUUCAUCGAUGAAGGAGAGUAACCCGAACCUGAAGGAACAAGAGUGAAAGUUUAAGAUAAUAGAAGGCUUACGUUAUCGGAGCUCUCAGAAUAUCAUCUUGCAGGGGAUAGACUUAGAGGAAAGACUGUGCCGGGAAACUGGCUGACUUUUGAUUUACACAGCAACUAUCAUCAUGUCUUAGACACAAUAGGUGCAAUUAGGGUAACUACUAGUCAGAAUGUGAUGGUGACAAUGUGCAAAUCUCAACAGUUUAAAUCAACAAAUACCUCAUUUCUCAUGCACGUUAUGUGUCCAAUGUAAGUUGGCAGGGAAGCUCAGGGUUGCAGCCAAUGAACAGCUAAAACUUGAAAAAGUGGGUUCUGGAAGGUCUUGACCAGUAAUUAAACACCCUGGCACAGAAGCAACACGUCAAAAAAAAAAAAAAAAGAAGAAGAAGUAACACAUGUCAAUUCUGCUCAUCACUCAGUGGGCAGAAGGAGUCACAGGUCCCCCUCAACAUCCAAACACAAACAAGGCCAAGAAAUUAAAUCCUACCAUGUACCUUGUGCCUUGAAGGCAGAGAACUCAAAAGAAUUAAGAAGCGUCAUGAAUGAUGACCAUAGUGUGUGUGUGUUCAGUGACAUGAUUUGUGCAUUGUAACCAUUUACGUUAUGGUCUAUGAUACACAAGUGAUGCUAUAAAAUAGCAUUCUUCAGGGACACCUGAGUGGCCCAGUCGGUUAAGCGUCUGCCUUUGGACCAGGACAUGAUCUCAGGGUGCUUGGGAUCCAGUCCCAAGUCCCUUAUCAGGCUCCCAAGGAGCCUGCUUCUCCCUCUGCCUGCCGCUCCCCCACCCCACCCUACUUGUGCGCUCUCUCUCUUUCCGAAAAAUAAAUACAUAAAAUCUUUCAAAAUAGUAUUUUUCAAUAUUGAAAAAUUUUAAACUCCCUAAAAUAUGGUACCCCAGUUUGAGAAACUAAAGGUCACACACUGUCAUGUCACAGGACCACUUUGAACAACUUUAGGCGUAAGGGCAAAUGGGCACUGAAACUGCUUGGCAGCUACUACAAAAUAAGCUAACUUUAAUAUAUUUUUUUUUAAUUUUGUCAAGAUGAAAGUACAAAAUCUAAAAUUCGUACACAAAAUAGAAGACUUCUGGGUGCAUUCCCAAGAACUCCCAUUUGUUUAUAGAGUUCAGAUUGAGAAGUAGCUCUCUAGUUAAAGAAAAACAGCUAACAUUUAUUGAGCGCUUGCCAUAUGCCAUUGUCCUUAAAUAUUCUAUGUGAAACCACUCCUUGAAUCUGCAUGAA